rnacentral:rRNA from 1 species
CACAAGUAAAGUGAUCGAAAGAUGAAAAACACUUUGAAAAGAGAGUCAAACAGUACGUGAAAUUGUUGAAAGGGAAGCGCUUGCAACCAGACUCGCUCGCGGGUGUUCAACCGUCCCCAGAGGCGGUGCAUUCUCCCGCGGCCGGGCCAGCAUCGGUUUAGGCGGUCGGACAAAGGCCCCGGGAAUGUAGCUCCUUUCGGGGAGUGUUAAGCCCGGGGUGCAAUGCGGCCAGCCCGGACCGAGGACCGCGCAUUCGCUAGGAUGCUGGCGUAAUGGUUGCCAGCGACCCGUCUUGAAACACGGACCAAGGAGUCGACCAACCGUGCGAGUGUUUGGGUGUCAAACCCCGACGCGCAAUGAAAGUAAACGUAGGUGGGAGCCCUCGGGUGCACCAUCGACCGAUCCUGAUAUCUUUGGAUGGAUUUGAGUAAGAGCCCGGUUGGUCGGACCCGAAAGAUGGUGAACUAUGCGUGAAUAGGGUGAAGCCAGAGGAAACUCUGGUGGAGGCUCGCAGCGGUUCUGACGUGCAAAUCGAUCGUCAAAUUUGCGCAUAGGGGCGAAAGACCAAUCGAACUAUCUAGUAGCUGGUUCCCGUCGAAGUUUCCCUCAGGAUAGCAGCAACGGAGACAGUCUCAUAAGGUAGAGCAAACGAUUAGAGGUCUUGGGGUUAUUAUUGACCUUAACCUAUUCUCGAACUUCGAAUAUGUGAGAAGUCCUUGUUACUUAGUGAA